GCCCGGUUAGCUCAAUCGGUAGAGCGUGAGACUCUUACCAAAUCGUAAUCUCAAGGUUGCGGGUUCGACCCCCGCAUCGGGCU
rnacentral:tRNA from 3 species